UNUCUANGUAGACUGCUCAUGACAAUUAAAUAGCCGCAAUUCGUGCUAAGGUAGCAUAAUCACUUGUCUUUUAAAUAAGGACUAGAACAAAAGAUUUAACAUUUUAACUUAUUUACCUUCUAUAAUAUAUCAAACUUUUCUUAAAUGUAAAAGGACAUUUAUUCUAAAGAAAGACGAUAAGACCCUAUUGAACUUAACUUUAGUUAAACUGGGGCAGUAAAUAAAUUAACACUUUUAAUAAAAUAUAACCUUAUUUAUCCAGUAUUAUUGAAUAAUUCAGUUACCAUAGGGAUAACAGCGUAAUUAUAUUUUAAAGCUCUCAUUUUCAAUAUAGAUUGCAACCUCGAUGUUGAAUUAAUAACCUAAAUAAGGCAAGACUUAAUAAAGGAGGUCUGUUCGACCUUUAAAAAAUUACAUGAUCUGAGUUCAAAACCGGAGA
rnacentral:rRNA from 1 species